rnacentral:lncRNA from 1 species
UGAAAAGCUGGCUAUAGAGUUGGGUUAUGGCUCUCCUUUCUCUAUACUCAGGCAUGUUCAUUUAAGUUUCCUUUAUGUUCUGUGUCAGGUGAGCCACCUGGCUCUGUCAGGGGAAAGGGAGUAGAGUAAAACAGCCAAAAAGCUUGUUGAUUUCAUUUAACUUUUGCUAAGAUAUAUACCUUAUCUCAGAAUAGGCAAUGGACACAGAGGGUGUCCCCCUAGACUCUCAAAAUCUGUGGGUGGGAGGGGGGAGCACAAUCUAGCAGGAGCUGCAGGCCCAUCCUGGGCCAGAAUCAGCAAAGAACACAACACAGCUGAGCAGAGGCAGGGAAUUUUAACACUGGCCCAGGCAACUCCAGACAAGUGCCCUCCCCAUGUUAUUGGCACAAGGUGGUUGGAUACUAUAAUGAUCACUUUGUAAUGAGGAAGCAUGACCCAGCCCAGCCUUACAGAGACCUGAGUCAGAUGAAGAGACCCCCAUACAGGCCUGGGGCUGCUCAUCCUGGUAUAUGGGCCACCCAGUACCUUGCAGCACCAGCCAGAAGGCCACUAUUAGAGAGAGCAGAGAACCUUCAUCUAGUAAUUGAUGGAAGCAGAUGCAGAGAUCCACAGCUAAGCACUGGAUUGAACUUCUGGAGUCCAGUCAUAGAGAGGGAAGAACAACAAUAUGAGCAAAGGAAUCAAGACCAUGCUGGGGAAAUCCAAAGAAAGCUGACCUGAGCAAGUGGGAGUUCACUGACUCCAGACUGACAGCUGAGAACCUGUAUAAGACUGAACUAGGCCUUCUGAAUGUAGGUGACAUUUGGGUGGCUUGGGCAGUUGUGUGGGGCCACUGGCAGUGGAACCAGUAUUUAUCCUUAGUGCAGGAACUGGCUUUUUGGAGCCUAUUCCCUGUGGAGGGAUACCUUGCUCAGCCUUGAUACAAUAGGAAGGGACUUGGUCCUCCCAUAACUGAUGUGACAAACUUGGUUGAUUUCCCAUGGGAGGCCCUGGGAGUAUAUGGGGACAUGGAGUGAGGAGGUGUGAUGGGGAGGGAGCAUGGGAAGGAGAAGAAGCUGGGAUUGGUAUGUAAAAUAAGAUUGUUUUAAGACUAAAAAAUAAAG